rnacentral:rRNA from 1 species
GCCGAACCGUGCGAACGUUGUUCGGAUUCACUGGGCUUAAAGGGCGCGUAGGCGGGUGAUCACGUCCGGGGUGAAAUCCUCCAGCUUAACUGGAGAAUAGCCUUGGAUACUGGUCGUCUUGAGGGAGGUAGGGGCAUGUGGAACUUCCGGUGGAGCGGUGAAAUGCGUAGAUAUCGGAAGGAACGCCGGUGGCGAAAGCGACGUGCUGGACCUCUUCUGACGCUGAGGCGCGAAAGCCAGGGGAGCAAACGGG